rnacentral:rRNA from 1 species
AAGAAAGUAAGCAAGGGCGCAUGGCGGAUGCCUUGGCUCUCGGAGGCGAUGAAGGACGUGAUAAGCUGCGAUAAGCUUCGGGAAGGUGCAAAUAACCAUUGAUCCGAAGAUUUCCGAAUGGGACAACCCGGCAUUCUGAAGGAAUGUCAUCCAACUAAGUUGGAAGCUAACGCAGGGAACUGAAACAUCUUAGUACCUGCAGGAAAAGAAAAUAAUAAUGAUUCCCCAAGUAGUGGCGAGCGAACGGGGAUUAGCCCAAACCAAUUUUGUUACGGCAAAAUUGGGGUUGUAGGACCACGAUAUCGCAAGAAAUUUGGUGAGAAGAAUUCUUUGGAAAAUGAAACCAUAGGGGGUGAUAGUCCCGUAUUCGAAGCCAAAUGAAGCGUAGUGGUAUCCUGAGUAGCGCGGGACACGAGAAAUCUUGCGUGAAUCCGCCGGGACCAUCCGGUAAGGCUAAAUACUCCCGAGAGACCGAUAGCGAACCAGUACUGUGAAGGAAAGGUGAAAAGCACUUCGAACAGAAGAGUGAAAUAGUCCCUGAAACCAUGCGCCUACAAGCGGUCGGAGCAGCGUAAGUUGUGACGGCGUGCCUUUUGCAUAAUGAACCUACGAGUUACUUUUUCCGGCAAGGUUAAGCAUCUUGAGAUGCGCAGCCGAAGCGAAAGCGAGUCUGAACAGGGCGAUAAGUCGGAAGGAGUAGACGCGAAACCAAGUGAUCUACCCUUGGUCAGGUUGAAGGUUAGGUAACACUAACUGGAGGACCGAACCGAUAAGCGUUGAAAAGCUUCCGGAUGAACUGAGGGUGGGGGUGAAAGGCUAAUCAAACUUGGAGAUAGCUCGUACUCCCCGAAAUGCAUUUAGGUGCAGCCUUGUGAGUUACUAAUGUGAGGUAGAGCGACUGAUAAGAUGCGAGGGCUUCACCGCCUAUCAAGUCUUGAUAAACUCCGAAUGCGCAUUAGUCCUAUCACAGGAGUGAGGGCAUGGGUGCUAAGGUCCAUGUCCUAAAGGAGAAGAAUCCGGACCAUCAGCUAAGGUCCCGAAAUAAUUGCUAAGUUGAACUAACGAAGUCAGAUUGCUAAGACAGCUAGGAUGUUGGCUUGGAAGCAGCCAUUCAUUUAAAGAGUGCGUAACAGCUCACUAGUCGAGGAGUUUGGCGUGGAUAAUAAUCGGGCAUCAAGCAAUUUACCGAAGCUAUGGGAUGUGUAAACAUCGGUAGGGGAGCAUUCCACUCCGCGUUGAAGGUGAAGCGUGAGCUUUUCUGGAGCGUGUGGAAAAGCAAAUGUAGGUAUAAGUAACGAUAAAGGGGGUGAGAAACCCCCUCGCCGAAAGACUAAGGUUUCCUGAUCAACGCUAAUCGGAUCAGGGUUAGUCGGGUCCUAAGGCUCAGCCGAACGGUGAUGCCGAUGGCAGAACAGGUUAAUAUUCCUGUACUACCUGACGGAGUGACGUGGAGACGGAGUCGUGACAACGCCGCGGACUGACGGAAUAGUCCGUUGAAGGGUGUAGAUGUUGAUCUUUGCAGGCAAAUCCACAAAGAGAGUCGAACCUGAUAGUAUACCAAUUCCUUCGGGAAACGGUAAUAGUGCGUGUAAACAUACUCCCAAGAAAAUCCGCUAAACUUAAUCCUUCAGGUACCCGUACCGCAAACGGACACACGUAGUCGGGUUGAAUAUACUAAGGCGCUUGAGUGAUUCACGGUUAAGGAACUAGGCAAACUGACCCUGUAACUUCGGGAUAAAGGGUCCCUACGGCGACGUAGGGCGCAGAGAAUAGGUCCAGGCAACUGUUUAACAAAAACACAGGGCUGUGCCAAAUUGAAAGAUCACGUAUACAGCCUGACACCUGCCCGGUGCUGGAAGGUUAAGAGGAGAUGUCAUCGCAAGAGAAGCAUUGAAUUGAAGCCCCAGUAAACGGCGGCCGUAACUAUAACGGUCCUAAGGUAGCGAAAUUCCUUGUCGGGUAAGUUCCGACCUGCACGAAUGGUGUAAUGAUCUGGACACUGUCUCAACCGUGAGCUCAGUGAAAUUGUAGUAUCGGUGAAGAUGCCGAUUACCCGCGAUGGGACGAAAAGACCCCGUGAACCUUUACUAUAGCUUAACAUUGAAUUUGGGUAAUUGAUGUGUAGGAUAGGCCGGAGACUUUGAAGCGCAGACGCCAGUUUGUGUGGAGUCGCUGUUGAAAUACGGCCCUUUGAUUAUUUGAGUUCUAACUCCUGGACAGGAGGACACUGUUUGGUGGGUAGUUUGACUGGGGUGGUCGCCUCCAAAAGUGUAACGGAGGCUUCUAAAGGUGCCCUCAUGACGAUUGGUAACCGUCAGUAGAGUGUAAUGGCAUAAGGGCGCUUGACUGGGAGACA